GCUGAUUCAGCAUGAUGAGCUGGUGUACCUGGAGGAGGAGCUGGAGCAAUAUAUAGCAGCACAACUCGGCAGAGGCCUCUGAGAUUGGGAAAACCCGCUGGAUGAUGAGCCUUUUGUUUUAGAUUGAGGUAAUUCGAUCUAAAGGAUGCACCGUGAGGAGGCGGCAUGCCGUGUCAUAUUCAUCUGUUUGCCGAAUGGAGAGUAGUGAGGGAUGUUUCCGAAGCUGUUGUCAGAAGAAAGGGACAAGUCAUGAAGUUUCCUACAAGUACAAGUUACAACAAGGCAAAAAGUGACUACUAUUCAGAAGCAGUUUUUCCAGUACUGCAGAUUUCCAGGAGUUGCUGUUGAUGGGACACAUGUUUACAUCAGGAGCCCUGGUGGGGCAAGAGCCAGGUACUACUUCAAUAGGAAGAACAGGUACUCCAUCGAUGUUCAGGUUGUCUGUGAUUAUGCUGGGAAAAUAACUAGUAUCGUUGCAAGGUGGCCUGGACUGGUAGCAGCCACGAUGCCAGAAUCUUUU